UACGUAGGGUGCUAGCGUUGUUCGGAAUCAUUGGGCGUAAAGCGAGUGCAGGCUGUUAGUUAAGUCGGGUGUGAAAUCCCUGGGCUCAACCGAGGAAGUGCAUCCGAAACUAAUUAGCUAGAGAAUGGUAGAGGAAGGUGGAAUUCCAAGUGUAGAGGUGAAAUUCGUAGAUAUUUGGAGGAAUACCGGAGGCGAAGGCGGCCUUCUGGACCAUUUCUGACGCUGAGACUCGAAAGCGUGGGGAGCAAACAGG
rnacentral:rRNA from 1 species